rnacentral:rRNA from 1 species
GAUGAACGCUGGCGGCGUGCCUAAUACAUGCAAGUCGAGCGAACGGACGAGAAGCUUGCUUCUCUGAUGUUAGCGGCGGACGGGUGAGUAAUACGUGGAUAACCUACCUAUAAGACUGGGAUAACUUCGGGAAACCGUAGCUAAUACCGGAUAAUAUUUUGAACCGCAUGGUUCAAAAGUGAAAGACGGUCUUGCUGUCACUUAUAGAUGGAUCCGCGCUGCAUUAGCUAGUUGGUAAGGUAACGGCUUACCAAGGCAACGAUGCAUAGCCGACCUGAGAGGGUGAUCGGCCACACUGGAACUGAGACACGGUCCAGACUCCUACGGGAGGCAGCAGUAGGGAAUCUGCCGCAAUGGGCGAAAGCCUGACGGAGCAACGCCGCGUGAGUGAUGAAGGUCUUCGGAUCGUAAAACUCUGUUAUUAGGGAAGAACAUAUGUGUAAGUAACUGUGCACAUCUUGACGGUACCUAAUCAGAAAGCCACGGCUAACUACGU